rnacentral:rRNA from 1 species
GCGUCAGGAUAUGCCCAGGUGGGAUUAGCUAGUUGGUGAGGUAAUGGCUCACCAAGGCGACGAUCCCUAGCUGGUCUGAGAGGAUGAUCAGCCACACUGGAACUGAGACACGGUCCAGACUCCUACGGGAGGCAGCAGUGGGGAAUAUUGCACAAUGGGCGCAAGCCUGAUGCAGCCAUGCCGCGUGUGUGAAGAAGGCCUUCGGGUUGUAAAGCACUUUCAGUCGUGAGAAGGGCGCUGUAGUUAAUAGCUGCAUCGCUUGACGUUAGCGACAGAAGAAGCACCGGCUAACUCCGUGCCAGCAGCCGCGGUAAUACGGAGGGUGCGAGCGUUAAUCGGAAUUACUGGGCGUAAAGCGCAUGCAGGUGGUUAGUUAAGUCAGAUGUGAAAGCCCGGGGCUCAACCUCGGAACUGCAUUUGAAACUGGCUGACUAGAGUACUGUAGAGGGGGGGUAGAAUUUCAGGUGUAGCGGUGAAAUGCGUAGAGAUCUGAAGGAAUACCAGUGGCGAAGGCGGCCCCCUGGACAGAUACUGACACUCAGAUGCGAAAGCGUGGGGAGCAAACAGGAUUAGAUACCCUGGUAGUCCACGCCGUAAACGAUGUCUACUUGGAGGUUGUGGCCUUGACCCGUGGCUUUCGGAGCUAACGCGUUAAGUAGACCGCCUGGGGAGUACGGUCGCAGGAUUAAAACUCAAAUGAAUUGACGGGGGCCCGCACAAUCGGUGGAGCAUGUGGUUUAAUUCGAUGCAACGCGAAGAACCUUACCUACUCUUGACAUCCAGAAAACUUAGCAGAGAUGCUUUGGUGCCUUCGGGAACUCUGAAACAAGUGCUUCCUUGCCUGUCCUCACCUCCUGUUGUGAAAUGUUUGGGUUAAGUCCCGCCACCAACCCCAACCCUUAUUCCUUGUUUUGCCACCCCUUCCGGUUGGGAAACUCCAAGGGAAACUGCCCGGUGAUAAU